AACGGCCGCGGUAUUUUGACCGUGCAAAGGUAGCGCAAUCACUUGUCUUUUAAAUAGAGACCUGUAUGAAUGGCAUAACGAGGGCUUAACUGUCUCCUUUCUCCUAUCAAUGAAAUUGAUUUCCCCGUGCAGAAGCGGGGAUAGUAACAUAAGACGAGAAGACCCUAUGGAGCUUAAGGCGCAAGAACAGAGCAUGUAAAUUCUUCCAACUAAAACAAGAAACCUAUUGAAACCCUGUUCAAAUGUCUUUGGUUGGGGCGACCACGGAGUAUAAAAAAACCUCCAUGAGGAAUGAAGAUAGUUCUUUCCAUCCAAGGGUGACAACCCUAAGAACCAGAAUUUCUGACCACUUGAUCCGGCUAAGCCGAUCAACGAACCGAGUUACCCUAGGGAUAACAGCGCAAUCCUCUUUUAGAGCCCAUAUCGACAAGAGGGUUUACGACCUCGAUGUUGGAUCAGGACAUCCUAAU
rnacentral:rRNA from 1 species